UGGUUUAUUUUCAGGGUGAGUAUAUGAAAGAUUAAUAUUCUCUGUUUUAAUUAAAGACAUAUGCAUAAGCUUUGGCACUUGAUCAGACAUUGGGUCUGAUUAAGAAUGUUUUGUAAAGUGUAGGCCUGACAGUUGGCUUCAUUCAUACUUUUAUGGAAGUGAGGCUAUGAAGAUAGGCUUACAGUGAAUUGGGAGAAGAAUAUGAUUCAAUACAACCAUGCCUCAAUGCAACCACAUCUGAAAAGGAUAUCUCCAAGCUAGAUUUGUUUAUUAAACAAUCAUCAUUGAAUACCUCUGUGUCCCCAGGCACAGAGGGUGAGAAGAUGAAAUACAACAGUCCAUGCUUCCACCAAACACAAAGCCAUGUUUCUUUUUGAAAGCCUGUGCUCCUAUCAGCUGCCCCAGGAAUAACUGAGCAGAGAAAUAUGACUUGUCACCACUUCCACUAGAGGUGAUUUUCCUCCUGCAACUUUUACUAAGGAAAGUAAAAUCAAGGAACGAUCCUGUUAAUCCUUACGUGGUCAACGCAGAAAUAGUCAACACAUUGUUUCCUAAUGAAUCAACAUAUUCAAGAAACUGUACUGUAAUAAUGGACAGAAUUCAUUCUCUUAAGGAAUGUUGAAGUCACUUGUCAAAUGAGGGAUUGUGGGGGAUGAAAUACAUUGUAAUCAAGUGAAUUACAUGUGCUAACAAUUGUCUUAGAUAAUUUAACAUAAUUAUGUCAUAUAAUUCUCCCAAUAAUUUCAGAUUCUUUAUUCCUAUUUUCAUAGGAAACUGAGAUUCAGGCACAGUGAGGGCUGUCCAAUUUCAUUUAGCUACUGCAAAACCUUCCCUACCUAAUGUAAGGGACCAUGUACUUUUCAUUUUAUCACACUCAGAAUCUAGGAUAAUUCAUACAAAAAUGAUUCAGCAUCUUAAUGUGUAUUUUGCCUUAAAGUUUAUGAAGUGUUAUCAUAUGCAUCAUCUCAUGUGAUGUUUAUAAUUACUCUUGUUCUUGGCAUUCAAUUGAUAAAAUGUUUUGAAAAGAAUCAUGAAUUAGAAUCUUUUUGAUGUCUUUUCAAUAAGAAUUAAUGUAAUGUAACUAGGUGUAUUUCAGAGACAGAAAAAUGAAACAAAGAUCAAAGAGCUUAGUUAAGGAAAUGCUAUUGUGUUACACUUCUCAAGAUAUUUCAGUGAGAUAUUGUGGACCACCUGGUUAUUUUGCAGAACUAAACCCAAAGAGACAUUACUCAAGUAUUUUUAUAAUUAGUAUCAUUUCUCUCCUACUUCCAGCUCAGUUAAUGACAGUAUUUAUAGGGAAUUUUGGCUAUAACAGAGAGACAUGUAUGUGGAUGAUCAUGAAAAUUAUGGUGAGCAGUCAUUCAUUAUUUGAUUUCCUAACGUGUGGACUGAGUCACUCUAGGAGUAAAAUACUCUACUUCUAAAUAUUAUGUCACCAUUUUACUAUAUUAGCAUUAAAAACAAGAACUUUUUUAUUUUGAAAUAAUUUUAAACUCUGCAUUGAAGUGCCAAACAGUAGUGUUCUAUGUACCCUUCACCUCUAGCAUUCCCCAAUGAUAGUAUCUUGUAUAACUAUAAUACAAUGAUCAAAAUUUUCAAAUUUGAUAAUACUAUUAACUAAACUACAUAUUAUAUUCAAUUUUACCUGUU